rnacentral:sRNA from 1 species
GCUGGGUGUGGUGGCUCACGCCUGUCAUCCCAGCAGCUCGGGAGGCUGAGGCAGGAGGAUUGCGAGUUCAAAGCCAGCCUCAGGAAAAGUGAGGUGCUAAGCAGCUCAGUGAGACCCUGUCUCUA